UACGUAGGGGGCAAGCGUUUGUCCGGAAUCAUUGGGCGUAAAGAGCGUGUAGGCGGCCCGGUAAGUCCGCUGUGAAAGUCGGGGGCUCAACCCUCGAAUGCCGGUGGAUACUGUCGGGCUAGAGUGCGGAAGAGGCGAGUGGAAUUCCUGGUGUAGCGGUGAAAUGCGCAGAUAUCAGGAGGAACACCUAUUGCGAAGGCAGCUCGCUGGGACGUAACUGACGCUGAGACGCGAAAGCGUGGGGAGCAAACAGG
rnacentral:rRNA from 1 species